rnacentral:rRNA from 1 species
GACAGAGGGUGCAAGCGUUACUCGGAAUUACUGGGCGUAAAGCGUGCGUAGGUGGUUUGUUAAGUCUGUUGUGAAAGCCCCGGGCUCAACCUGGGAAUGGCAAUGGAUACUGGCAGGCUAGAGUGCGGUAGAGGGUAGUGGAAUUCCCGGUGUAGCGGUGAAAUGCGUAGAGAUCGGGAGGAACACCAGUGGCGAAAGCGGCUUCCUGGUCCAGCACCGACGUUCAGGCACGAAAGCGUGGGGAGCAAACAGG